rnacentral:tRNA from 1 species
GGUCCCGUAGUUCAAUGGAUAGAACGUCAGAUUCCGGUUCUGAAAGUUGGGGGUUCGAGUCCCUCCGGGAUCACUA